UGCCUUGCGUUCCGUGAUCUUUCACCCCAAGCUGCGACGCUUUUCCUAGUCAUGCCUAAGGAGCCGAUUAUCAGGUUAUCUGAAGAUUCCAGUGACUCUCUUCCCGGGCAUUUAAUGCUUGUUGGCAAGAAGCGUGCUGCUCGCCUGGGUCUGACCAACGGAUUCCGGAUGGUUGUGGAUGAAGGGCCCGAGGGUGGGCAGUCUGUCUGUCACGUACGUCUACCUAUUCGGGGUGGCCGUGAGUUGGGCUGUCCGCCCGGCUAAGAUUUGUUUGCACCGCAAGAGUCGCUGGACGGGCACGAACCGCCUCUGAAUGGAUUUUUGUCUGUUGCCCGUCAGUCUAGCCACUGUUGAAGUCUAAUUUUGUGUGACGUGUGUCUGUGGAAGGUACUAAAAGCUUUGAGCAGCAGUUGCACAAUAAAGAUUUAGCAUGGGGAUAUCA